CGUGCUGUUGCUGGAAAGCGAGCUCGCUGUAGACCGGCCGCGAUACCACAUAACUGCAGCUGUAUUCGGGGAGCUGCGGCGGCUCGGACCUGCCGCCCGGCGCUGCCAUGACCUGCUAGCCAGAGGACAGCGAGGAGGAAGGAGAUACGGGAAGGAAUAAACUGGACUACAUGGAAAUCAAGACUAGAAGAGAGGGGGGAAGAGCCGGAGCUAUCUUACCUCACCAGUGUUUUGUCUUCUGUUGGGAUAAACUUUGCUAAAACUAAUGCAUGGUUAAGAUGAAGGGCAGAAGGAAGGGUUCGAUAAACCAGAACAUUCUCGCCUGAUUAUCAGUGUUCUGAAAUAAAUACAGAAGAGGCUUCGAAAUACAGACCUCUGUACAUCAACCUUCGGUUACCCACCUACCUUGAAUAUACAGACCAUGACAAUUCUACCAGCUCCUGGAAACAGAACUCAGAACUCGUCUCCAGAGAACCCUGAUGCAAAUUCUCUGAAAUGGUAGUCAGCAUGUGUGUUUUCCUGAGAAGUGAAUGAGUCAACAGCUUUCAACAGAUCUUCAAAGGGUUACUUGACCCAAUGAAGUUAAGAACCACUGAAGAAGAAACUAAAAAGAAAAUCCAGGUCAUGAACUUUGCAAUUUUUAUUCACAUACAGAGAAGAAGGGAGGAAUCUCUUGUGUAUGUUUCAUUUAUGUAUACCAGUGGUUCUUAACAAAGGGCUUUUUUGCCCCCAGAGGUCAAUGCCUGGAGACAUUUUUUGGUUGUCACACCUAGGGGAUGCUACUGGGAUUUAGUGAGUAGAGGCCAGGGAUGCUGCUAAACAUCUUAAAAUGAAGUUUGCUAUCACUCUAAGGUUUUGCAUGUGACUUUAACUGUACAUUUAUUAAUAAAUUGCUACAUGUACUAAAAUAUGUAUCUAUCACCAUCUAUGUAUAUAUGUGUGUAUUUGUUCAUUAUUGUUGGAUGUAUAGCUCAACUCCACUAAAAUAGAGGAAAGUGUUUGUUUUAAAGUAGAUUCUGAAUAUACUCACUCUGUAUACCCUCACCCAUACCUUCAAGAUCUGGUGAAAACACUGUCUCUUGCAUGAACAUUCUUUGAUGCUGUAGUUCAGAAUUAAUCCAGUCCCUUUUCUGGAUUCUCUUCAUACCUUAUCUGAUCCUCUCUUAAGUUACCUCUCACUAUCUACCUUAGUAACACAAUUUUAUUUACAUACAAGUCCUAUCUCCCUCACUAGACAAAAACUUCUUGAGGGCAAGCACUGUGUCUCCUUUCAACCAUUAUUAUCCUCUCUCAUGUUUUUUGACGAGAUUUAUCUACAGCCCAAACAUACCUUUGUAAAAAACUAAAAAUUACUUUACAUAUUUGAUCUAUGGCUUUGUUUUUCUCAAUUAAGAGCAUGCUAUGGAUUAUCUUUGCAAGUGAGCACAUAAGGAUUUUUCUUAACCUUGGAGAUGGCUAAUUAGGAUUUCAGAAUUAUCAACUCAUAUUCGUAGCUCCAUGGCAACUCACCUACACAACUCACAACUCUUUAUUGAAUUAAUUAGAAGGCAUUCUGUACAAAUAUAAAUAUAGUCCAUAUCCCAUUCUAAUAUGGAUUUCUGCUCCUUGUUGCUUGCUAUUUUGAACACUUUUAGUCUGGUCCAGUCAGGCCUGUAAACCACUUUGCACCAGAACUUGGCAAUGGUUUAUUGGUUCAGAGGAUUAAGGAGUGGGGUAAGGCUGGCGGAAGGACAGAGGAGAAAAGACUUGAAUAACAACAGGAGGCAAAAGAGUAACUUCCCUUGGCUAAUAGAAUUCUUAUUUGAAAUGCAUCUCUCUGUAUAAGAGUUUGGUUCAAUAAUCACACUGUAAUAAGUCCUGCAUGUGUCUGGAUGAAGAUAAUUGCUUCUUUCUGUUAAAUGCUUUUCUAUAGCAGAAAUACCUGGGGUAGAACAGAAUGGUAUCUGUGUUACAGGAUUCUAUAAGGGUAUAGAACUGCUGUUGUCAUAGGUAGAAGGCAGACUGUUUGAAUUUGGCUGUUUUGAAAACAGAAGAGUAGGAGGAAAUAACAGCUUGCUCUCCCCACCCUAUUUAAUUGUGAUAUUAAACACCUUAGAUUACUCACUUGGGCUUUACAAGGCAACCUUCACCUGUUUCGCACAGAGGUGGGUGGUUCGUAUUUAUCAGAUUGUAAUCACAUUCAGGACUUAAUGUGCAUCACUUAAAAUAAAUGUCAGACAAUAUUAUUGUUACUUUACAGUAUUUAUUUAGCAGCAAAUACUUUUUUAAAAGGCAUUUUCUUAUUUAUCAUUUAGGCAUUUGCAGUGUAAGACAAACUCCCUUGUUUGAUUAUGCAUUCAUCUGUUCAUUCAUUCAUUGGAUUCAUUAGGAAAUUAUUUGUGCUGGCUGUGGGUACAAUGAUGAACAAAAGCUUGUACCACGGCCUCAUAUUUAGGGGUGCAGUAGACAUUCACCAAACAGUCACAAAAAGUGUAUCUUAUUUCACUGAUUAUAAUAUACAGAUUUUUCACAUUUUAUCAGGGUUCAUGUUAUAAUUAAUGAUCUGCUAUUUAUUAUAGUUUAAUAGCAUAUUUUGUGAUUCAUAAAAUAUGAAUUUUAUAAUUAAUAGCAUUCUAUAAUUAAUAAAAUAAAGAUAUUUACAUAAA